UCCCCUGUGCCCAUAGAUGAGAGCUACAGCUCCUACCACCCCGAUGGUGACUUCCCCCUGGUGAAGGUGCUGCGGGACCCCAUCUACGUGGAGGUCCGGCUCCUGCACAAGACAGACCCCAACCUGGUGCUGGUGCUGCACCAGUGCUGGGCAGCCCCCAGUACCGAGCCCACGGCACAGCCCCAGUGGCCCAUUCUGGUGGAUGGGUGAGCAGAGGACAAUGAGAGGAUGGAGAUAGGGGGGUGGUGGGUACCCAUGUUAACCAUAAAGGUCCCUUUUGCACCCCAAGGUGCCCCUUUGUAGGGGAUAACUAUAGGACGCAGCUCGUGCCGGUUGGACCAGCAUCCCCACAGCUCCCAUUCCCCAGCCAUUACCAGCGCUUCAUCAUCUCCACCUUCACCUUUGUGGAGCCCCCAUCCAUGGCAGUGCUGGAGGGAGAGGUGUUCAUCUCCUGCAGUGCCUCCGUCUGCCAUCUGGCCCAGCCCGAGCCCUGCCGCCCCUCCUGCCACCUUGGGGUGCCCUCACGUGAGUGUGGGUGUGCCCUGGUGAUGGGGACCCCCCCUUUGUGUGUGUGUACCCCCAAACCAAGGCCCUUAUCCCCCCCCAGGUGCACGGAGGUCACCAAGGGGCAGGAGAACAGGAGCCAUGGGCACAGUCAGCUCCCAGGGCAGCAUCACCUUCCCUAUGGGGACCAGGCUGCAGCGAGGCAGGGGAUGAAGUCCCUGCUCUUCCUCUUCCUCUCCUCCAGGCAGAUGUUGCUGCACAUCUGGGCACACUGCAUCAAUAAAGCCCCUGGAGCA
rnacentral:lncRNA from 14 species